CCAAGAAACAGCAAAAAGACAAAAAACAUUCUCUUUCCGAUUCUUUUCCCACAUAGAUCAUCACAGAAUACUGGGUAGAAUUCUCUGUGCUCUACAGCAAGUCCUGGUUAACCAGUCAUUCCAUCCCAGACCCCCGUCCAUCCCUCCCACCCCUACCUGUCAAUUUUGGUAACUGUUUCAAAGUCUGUGAGUCUGUUUCUGUUCUGCAAAUAAGUUCAUUUGUAUCCUUUUUUUAGAUUCCACAUGUAAGUGAUAUCAUAUAAUGUUAGUUUAUUGGAUUCUGCACCUUAAAUGCUCCCUGGUGAACUUAGGUUUUAGUGGGGAGGAAGAGACAGAAGCUAGAUUGCAGCCAAUUGAGAAAUAAAUAAGUGAAGAAGUAGAGACAAAUAUAGACCUUUCCCCAAAAUGUUUGGCUCUGAAGAGAAGGAGAGCGACAAGGCGAUAGCUGGCAAAAGUGUCAAGUCAGAAGAAGUGCAAGUGGGUUUUGCUUCUUUUUUCUUUUUUGACCAUGCCCGUGGCAUGCGGAAGUUCCAUGGUCAGGGACUGAACCACCACACCACAGCAGUGACCCAAGCCAAAACCGUGACACUGCCAGAUCCCCAACCUCCUGAGCCACCAGGGAACUCCCAAUUUUUUUGUGGGGGGGUGGCGGGUUACUUCUUGAGGGCAAGAAGCCAGUGUUAUCUCUUCCAGCUCUUUCUCCUCUUCCUUCCUCUUCUCUCCUCCUUCGUCCUUUCCCUCUUCCCUCCUUCUAGUUUUCAUCAAUACAUCUAACUUCCUAUCAUUCUUGAAAUGACUCUUAGGUGACCAGGCAGAUCCAGAAGAGAGAGAGGGGGAAGCUCUUUGAGAAGAGGAGGAAUAAAAGGCAUCCUUGAUGUUCUGAUAUUCUGCUUAUCUUGCUUGGAAGUACCCACAGAGCUGAGGACAAAAGGGUGGGCUCAUUAAUCUUGAUCCAUGAAGGUUUGUCUGCUGCAGAGUGGUCUCUGAAAUCCACACAGUGCCCACGCCUCUCCUGCUGCUGACAUUGUAACACACACACACACACACAACCGUAUGACCUCGGGUAAGUCAUUUCGCUUUUAAAACUGUACAGGAGUGGGUUGAAGCGUGUCUCUCCUGAAGUUCAGAUUCACCUAGAACCCCAGAAUAUGACCUUAUUUGGAAUUGAGGUCUUUGGAGAUAUAAUUAAGGUCAGGGUUGUGUUGACUGGAAAAAAAAAACCCACACAAUUUAAGAGCAGUGAGGUUCAGUUUUAUUUGGGACCUUAGUGAGGACAACAGCCUUGCAGGUAGCUCUGAGGAACUGCUCCAAAGAGGUAGGGAGGGGCUCGCAUGGAUACGAAUUUUUUCUUUUUUUUGGCUGGGAGAAACAUGUACUCAAACACGAAGAGAUGAAUCCCCAUCACAAAGAAGGGACAUCUCAAAUGAAUGAUUUUAGUGUUUUUCUGUGUUUGGGAAGAUGCACAAAUCUGGGGUCAUUGAAAAAUUUCCCUUGGACAUGCAUCUUUAUGAUGGAGAGGCCCAUGUAUCCAAAGCACCGGAUGCAUCUUGUUUUCCUCCGUCCGGACUUCCCCCAAGGGCGCACUGUUGGUGGGCAGCUGCUGUGGGUUGCCAAUUAAUCCUUGCAGAGCUAGAACGCGGCGGGGAGGGGGCAACAUUCUUUGUUUUACAGUUGAAAGGAGAUCCUCCUGAAUUAGAAUGGGCCCUAAAUCAAGGAGUGUGUCCUUAAAGAAGGACAAACAGAUGCACAGAGAGAAAGGUCAAGUGAAGAUGAGGUGGGAGAGGUCGGAAGGAUGCAUCUACCAGCCGAGAAAUACCAAGGAUUCCUGGCGGAUACCAGCAGCUGGGAGUGAGGAGGGGGUGGGGAGUUCUCUCUCCGUCUCCAGGAGGAAUCAAUUUUGCUGACAUGGUGAUUUUCUUUUUUUUUUUUUUUUUCUUCUGUCCUUUUUUAGGGCUGCACUUGCAGCAUAUGGAGGUUCC